rnacentral:misc_RNA from 1 species
GACGAGACUCCCCCUCCGGCCAACUCCACCACGCAAUGUCAACAACUCUGCGCAACUGCAGGGAGACAAUCGGCGGCUAUGUUUGUCAAGUUCAGCGGCGAUAUGGUGAAGAGAGAGAAAAAGAACACCGAUGAAGCUUCUCAGGCAAUUUCCGUUAUUCGAUGGCUACGGUUUCAAUAGCGUCAGACUCACAUUCCUAGUUUUCAUUUCCAACCAGUGAGCUCGAUUUAGCUUAUUGCGCACGUGUUCCAUCUUUGGCCUCUUGCCUGGAUCCAUGACAGUUGUAUGCAAGUUGAACUGCUUUGAACACAUUAGUGGAUGAAAAUUGGCCAUUCGGACGAGGUUCCACAACUUGCAAAAUUUUGCAUUUAUGGCCAAGCCAAGGCUUUGCCCACCUUGGUUGAGAUCCGCUAAUGUGUUGAGUCUGUCCA